UACCCUACAUUUUUAAAGAUGGAGGUUUAAAUAAGGCAGCUCCCAUGUAAGGCAGGUCACUGGUGCAUGAGCAUGUUAAAGACUGACAGUGGAACUGCAUGGAUUAGCUGUGAAAGCACUGGACUCUGGGCAUUGCCACUUUGGAGUGCUAAAAAAGGCAACGCUGCAGCCGAUAAGGACCCUGCACUCGCACAUUUGUUUUAGCAGCACAGCUGCAGGGCGAACGUCAGCUGACGAUGGCGCAGGGCAGGACUCGCCGUUAUCCCAGACUUGGCACUAUUGCUGAUGCAGUGGUGGCAUCCCCAACACCCUCGGUGCCGUGGGCUGAGACGAAGAGCCCGGAUCAGCUGCUGCUGUCUGCUGGCUCGUGAUUGACUCUAUAUUAUCUUAAUAUAACCAGUUUUACAAAGUUGUCUACUUAAGCUGUAGCAACAAAACUUCAUAUAUUUCAAACAUGUGUAUCCAUGCGGACUUUUAAAUAUAUUUCUUUAUAUAUUUUCCAUCCACAAGGAAGACAAUUAUCAUGAUGCGUAUUCCAGAUACAGUUAGAUUUUAUCACUGACUAUAUAUUUCGUCACUGUAAGUGAAGUCCUUAAGUUUAAAAAAAUGUUUAUCACCCCAAAAAAGAAAUGCAUCCAAUCUACGCAUCACUUAAAGGAAAUGAAGAGGGAUUUUUAAAUGUGAAACAGACACAGCUGUUCAGUAAGCAACAGAGAGAGCUCUUUGUCUUUUAUCUUCCUCUGUAAUGUGCACAGGUGCUGCUUAAUUCAAUUGGAAAACGUUGCCAUGGUUUUACGUUAAUAUAUUUCCAUGUUACCAGUACAACUGUUGUCAUGGAGAUGAUAGGACCUAUUUGAACUGAAACUGAGAGUGAGGCACAGAAAGAGCUCACUAUUUCGAUUCCCGACUGUUAGUAGAAAUGCGAUCUGCACACUGAAUUUCUUUGUUUUUAAAGUUUAUUUAUUCCCAUUCUGUGUGCCCCAUUUUGUGUCUUUGUUUAUGUCGGAGGGGCUCUUUAGAUUUAGAUGUAUAAAUUUAAAAAACAGUACUGCUUGCAUAAACCUGAGUUUGUUUAACUAGUAUGUUUCGAUUUUAUAGAUGCUAGAACAGAUAAAAUAAAAGGAUCGUUAUGAAGGUAACCAGUUUAAAUGAAUAGACCGUUUUGUCUUUUCCAUCACUGUUAAUGAAAUGUUUUCUUUUCCACAUCCUUAUCUGUGGGUAUCUGGAAAAUUUCCAGAGUUCACGGGUGCCUUGUUCCCUCUCUGCUUUGUUUAUCGGACAUGUCGCGUUUAAAAUUCCUAAUGCGGGAGAAGAAAAACACCUCCGCAGCCAAAAAGACUACAAGACUACUCAGUUACCGAUUCCUGUUGUUAACCUGUAUGUCAGCAUCCCAAGCUGAAGAAUGGAUAGGGAAGAAUGUGUUUUACAACAAAAUUUGUUCGACUUAGUGACAAGUAAAAGUAACAUAAAGCGUCCACUGUCCAAGCCAGGGAAAAUGAAUCCAGCAUAAAAUGUAGCUGUAAGUGACACACAAAUAUGACACAAAAGGCACCUCAGCUGCUGAAUCAGUGCUAACUACCACAUUGCUGGAUGCGAACAAUCUUAUACGUUCAUAAACAUUAAACAUCUGGUUUCAUGUA